UACGUAGGGUGCAAGCGUUAAUCGGAAUUACUGGGCGUAAAGCGUGCGCAGGCGGUUAUGUAAGACAGUUGUGAAAUCCCCGGGCUCAACCUGGGAAUUGCGAUGGAGACUGCAAGGCUAGAAUCUGGCAGAGGGGGGUAGAAUUCCGCGUGUAGCAGUGAAAUGCGUAGAGAUGCGGAGGAACACCGAUGGCGAAGGCAGCCCCCUGGGCUAACACUGACGCUCAGGCACGAAAGCGUGGGGAGCAAACAGG
rnacentral:rRNA from 1 species